ACAUUUUUUUUAUUUCACCAUACCAGAAAUUUGAAGAGAAUCUCCCAAAAAAAAAAAAAAUUUAAUUAAAUUUUGUUUUUGUGUGUAAUUAACACUUGUGUUUUAUUGUUGUGUGUGAAUGCGGUUGUGCGAACAAGUUAAAGCAACGCCAACAUUUACACCAACCGUUAAAACCAUCUCUGACCCCUCCGAUUCUAUGAACGGAGGAGGUCAGCCAAUUUAUGUUGAAUUCCCUGGCGGAAAUAAUUGUGUCCAUGACAGGGUUUAAGCCAAGCCAAGUAACCCGGCUAAUGGAACGGCAGCAAAUUUCGUCCUGUGUGUGUGACAUGUCCGUCCAGCGCCAACCAGAAGUAUUCCUUCUGCCAAAAUCCGUGUUGUCCAAAAACCUGGAGUGAUAAAAACUAAAUAAGUAUACGCUGACCAGGUAACAAUAUUUAAAAAAAAAAAAAGAGCUACUUACCGGCCUUGAGCAACAUUUUGGUUACAAUCUUUAUGCCAAGAGACCGAGUGUUUACUAAUAUCUGAAAGGGAGAAAUAUAAAUAAAAGAUUAGAAAAUCUGGAAAUAACACCGAACUCUUAAACAAUCUGCAAUAAUAGUUAUACGUUAGUUUAAGUAAAUGUUAGUAUUUAGUGAUUAGUAUAUAAGAUUUUAUUUGUGUUUGUAAAAGUUUUUAACGCCAGAUGGAAUGCGACAAGUGUAGGGUUGCCCCAGAAAAAUCCUAUUAGAAAUUUGUUUAUUGUGGGAUCAAAUGUUAAUGUCCCUUUAGAACCACAUAAGAGAGCUCUUUUAGGUGAGGAAAUAAUUUAGAAAAGCGGCCCAAGUUGACCGAAAUUCUAUAGGAUAAGGCGGUAGUCCGAGAUAUUGACUUAUCGAUGUGUCAGGUGUUAGAAAUUUAGAAUUCUGACAAGAAAAUAAUGAAGGCAAUAAAUUGUUUUAAUGUUUAAGUGUUUAGAUUAAAAUGAA